rnacentral:rRNA from 1 species
CCUACGGGUGGCAGCAGUGGGGGAUAUUGCACAAUGGGGGAAACCCUGAUGCAGCGACGCCGCGUGAGUGAAGAAGUAUUUCGGUAUGUAAAGCUCUAUCAGCAGGGAAGAAAAUGACAGUACCUGACCAAGAAGCCCCGGCUAACUACGUGCCAGCAGCCGCGGUAAUACGUAGAGGGCAAGCGUUAUCCGGAUUUACUGGGUGUAAAGGGAGCGUAGACGGUUAUGUAAGUAUCGAGUGAAAGCCCGGGGCCAAACCCCGGGACUGCUAUGGAAACUGUGUAACUGGAGUACAGGAGGGGUGGGAGGAAUGUGUGGUGUAGCGGUGAAAUGCGUAGAUAUCA